rnacentral:rRNA from 1 species
GGAUGCGAUCAUACUAGCACUAACGCACCGGA